rnacentral:rRNA from 1 species
AGCAGCCGCGGUAAUUCCAGCUCCAAUAGCGUAUAUUAAAGUUGUUGCAGUUAAAAAGCUCGUAGUUGAAUUUCGGGAUCAAUAUGUUGGUCGUGCCUUGGUACGUACUGGCAUUAUUGGUUUCUACCUUCUGAAGAACCUCGAUGUCAUUAAUUUGGUGUCUUGGGGAAUCAGGACUGUUACUUUGAAAAAAUUAGAGUGUUUAAAGCAGGCUCGCGCUUGAAUACAUUAGCAUGGAAUAAUGAAAUAGGACGUUUGAUUCUAUUUUGUUGGUUUCUAGGAUUGACGUAAUGAUUAAUAGGGAUAGUUGGGGGCAUUAGUAUUCAAUUGUCAGAGGUGAAAUUCUUGGAUUUAUUGAAGACUAACUACUGCGAAAGCAUUUGCCAAGGAUGUUUUCAUUAAUCAAGAACGAAAGUUAGGGGAUCGAAGACGAUCAGAUACCGUCGUAGUCUUAACCAUAAACUAUGCCGACUAGGGAUCGGAUGAU